UGGGGAAUAUUGCACAAUGGGGCGCAAGCCUGAUGCAGCGAUGCCGCGUGAGGGAAGAAGGUUUUCGGAUAGUAAGCCUCUGUCAUCAGGGACGAAAAUGACGGUACCUGGGAAGGAAGCUCCGGCUAACUACGUGCCAGCAGCCGCGGUAAUACGUAGGGAGCAAGCGUUAUCCGGAAUUACUGGGUGUAAAGGGAGUGUAGGCGGGACUGUAAGUCAGAUGUGAAAUAUGCCGGCUCAACUGGCAGACUGCAUUUGAAACUGCGGUUCUUGAGUAGAG
rnacentral:rRNA from 1 species